UUUAUUAUCUAAUAUUUAAAGCACCCGUUCUCUGUCGAUCACCGAAGUUAAGCAAUGUCGGGCAAGGUCAGUACUUGGGAUCACCGGGGGAUGUAAGCCAAUCCUUUCUGGGGCUCAGUGGACGAGUGGUGUGAAUCGUAGAUUUCCGUCAGCCGCGACCCGAGAGCGAAUUCAACAUUGGCCACUUU